CAGCAGCCACGGUAAUACCGAGGGUGCAAGCGUUAAUCGGAAUUACUGGGCGUAAAGCGCGCGUAGGUGGUUUGUUAAGUUGGAUGUGAAAUCCCCGGGCUCAACCUGGGAACUGCAUCCAAAACUGGCAAGCUAGAGUAUGGUAGAGGGUGGUGGAAUUUCCUGUGUAGCGGUGAAAUGCGUAGAUAUAGGAAGGAACACCAGUGGCGAAGGCGACCACCUGGACUGAUACUGACACUGAGGUGCGAAAGCGUGGGGAGCAAACAGGAUUAGAUACCCCAGUAGUCCCUGUCUCUUAUAC
rnacentral:rRNA from 1 species